rnacentral:rRNA from 1 species
AAUAGAUACCCGGGUAGUCCUGGCCGUAAACGAUGUCGACUAGAUCGUGGUCCCUCUGAAGGGUUCACGGUCGAAGCAAAAGUGCUAAGUCGACCGCCUGGGAAGUACGGUCGCAAGGCUAAAACUCAAAGAAAUUGACGGGGGCUCACACAAGCGGUGGAGCAUGUGGUUCAAUUCGAAGCAACGCGCAGAACCUUACCUGGGCUUGACAUGCCAGGAUUAUCCCCAUGAAAGUGGGGUAGGCCCUUCGGGGUACAACUGGUACAGGUGCUGCAUGGCUGUCGUCAGCUCGUGUCGUGAGAUGUCGGGUUAAGUCCCUUAACGAGCGAAACCUUUGCCCUUAGUUACCAGCGGGUUAUGCCGGGGACUCUAAGGGGACUGCCGGUGUCAAACCGGAGGAAGGUGGAGAUGACGUCAAGUCCUCAUGGCCUUUAUGCCCAGGGCCACACACGUGCUACAAUGGCGUCCACAAAGCGAACCAAGAGCGCAAGCUGGUGGAAAUCGCAGAAAUGACGCCCCAGUUCAGAUUGGAGGCUGC